GCGCGAAAACUUUACAAUGCUGGCAACAGCGAUAAGGGAANCCUCGAGUGCCAGGUUACAAAUCUGGCUGUCGAGAUGCCUAAAAAGCAUUUCAUAGCAAGGGCCGGGCAAGACCGGUGCCAGCCGCCGCGGUAACACCGGCGGCUCGAGUGGUAACCGUUAUUAUUGGGCUAAAGGGUCUGUAGCCGGCCGGAUAAGUCUCUUGAGAAAUCUGGCAGCUUAACUGUCAGGCUUUCAGGAGAUACUGUCUGGCUCGAGGCCGGGAGAGGUGAGAGGUACUUCGAGGGGUAGGGGUGAAAUCUUGUAAUCCUUGAAGGACCACCAGUGGCGAAGGCGUCUCACCAGAACGGACCUGACGGCAAGGGACGAAAGCUAGGGGCACGAACCGGAUUAGAGACCC
rnacentral:rRNA from 1 species